GGGGCGACUAGUGACAGAGUGAGGGAAGGGGUGACUAGUGGCAGAGUGAGGGAAGGAAGGGGUGACUAGUGACAGAGUGAGGGAGGUGGUGACUGUCACUAGUCACCACCUCCCUCACUCUGUCACUAGUCACCACCUACCUCUGUCACUAGUCAUCCCCUCCCUCACUCUGUCACCAGUCAUCCCCUUCCCUCACUCUGUCACCCCCUCACUCUGUCACUAGUCACCCCCUCACUCUAGUGACAGAGUGAGGGAGGGGGUGACUAGUGACAGAGUGAAGGAGGUGGUGACUGUCACUAGUCCCCCCCUCCCCUCCCUCACUCUGUCACUAGUCACCCCC